GGAAUCUUGCACAAUGGGGGCAACCCUGAUGCAGCGACGCCGCGUGAGCGAUGAAGCCCUUCGGGGUGUAAAGCUCUUUCGGCCAGAACGAUAAUGACGGUACUGGAAGAAGAAGCUGCGGCUAACUACGUGCCAGCAGCCGCGGUAAUACGUAGGCAGCGAGCGUUGUUCGGAGUUACUGGGCGUAAAGCGUGCGUAGGCGGUUUUCUAAGUUUGGUGUGAAAUCUCCCGGCUCAACUGGGAGGGUGCGCCGAAGACUGGGAAGCUGGAGUAUGGGAGAGGUAGGCGGAAUUCCUGGUGUAGCGGUGAAAUGCGUAGAUAUCAGGAGGAACACCAGCGGUGUAGACGGCUUACCGGACCAUGACUGACGCUGAGGCACGAAAGCGUGGGGAGCAAAA
rnacentral:rRNA from 1 species